rnacentral:rRNA from 1 species
AGAGUUUGAUCCUGGCUCAGAACGAACGCUGGCGGCAUGGAUUAGGCAUGCAAGUCGAACGAGAAGCUUAAGCUUGCUUAAGUGGAAAGUGGCGAAAGGGGUGAGUAACGCGUGAGUAACUUGCCCCCAAGUUGGGAAUAACACUUCGAAAGGAGUGCUAAUACCGAAUGUAGAUUUAAUAUCGCAUGUUAUUAUUUCUAAAGAUUUAUCGCUUGGGGAUGGGCUCGCGUCCCAUUAGCUUGUUGGUAGGGUAAUGGCCUACCAAGGCGACGAUGGGUAGCUGGUCUGAGAGGACGAUCAGCCACACUGGGACUGAGACACUGCCCAGACUCCUACGGGAGGCUGCAGUCGAGAAUCUUCCGCAAUGCGCGAAAGCGUGACGGAGCGAUGCCGCGUGCAGGAUGAAGGCCUUCGGGUCGUAAACUGCUGUCACCGGGGAAGAAUAAAUGACGGUACCCGGAGAGGAAGCCACGGCUAACUACGUGCCAGCAGCCGCGGUAAUACGUAGGUGGCGAGCGUUGUUCGGAUUUAUUGGGCGUAAAGGGUCCGCAGGGGGUUUAUUAAGUCUGGUGUGAAAUCCCGAAGCUCAACUUCGGAACUGCAUUGGAUACUGGUAAACUAGAGUAUCGGAGAGGAAAGUGGAAUUCCAGGUGUAGCGGUGGAAUGCGUAGAUAUCUGGAAGAACACCAACAGCGAAGGCAGCUUUCUGGACGAUUACUGACCCUCAUGGACGAAAGCGUGGGUAGCGAACAGGAUUAGAUACCCUGGUAGUCCACGCCGUAAACGUUGUGUACUUGAUGUGGGGGGAUUUAGCCCCCUCCGUGUCGGAGCUAACGCGUUAAGUACACCGCCUGGGGACUACGGCCGCAAGGCUAAAACUCAAAGGAAUUGACGGGGGCCCGCACAAGCGGUGGAGCAUGUGGCUUAAUUCGAGGCAACGCGAAGAACCUUACCUGGAUUUGACAUAUACUUGACAGCUGGUGAAAGUCGGUUUUCUCUUCGGAGCAGGUAUACAGGUGCUGCAUGGCUGUCGUCAGCUCGUGCCGUGAGGUGUUCGGUUAAGUCCGGCAACGAGCGCAACCCAUGUCUUUAGUUGCUAACAGAUAAUGCUGAGGACUCUAGAGAGACUGCCCGUGUUAAGCGGGAGGAAGGCGUGGAUGACGUCAAGUCCGUAUGGCCUUUAUAUCCAGGGCUGCACACGUGCUACAAUGGCUGGUACAAUGGGACGCAAUGCCGCGAGGUGGAGCAAAUCCUGAAAACCAGUCUUAGUUCGGAUUGUAGUCUGCAACUCGACUACAUGAAGUCGGAAUCGCUAGUAAAGGCGUAUCAGCUACGACGCCUUGAAUACGUUCCCGGGCCUUGUACACACCGCCCGUCACAUCAUGGAAGCUGAUUGCACCCGAAGUCAUUGAUCCAACCCGUUAAGGGCGGAAGAUGCCGAAGGUGUGCUUAGUAACUGGGAUGAAGUCGUAACAAGGUA